GGGAUGUGAUGGGGUGUGUGUGAGAUGAAGGUAGUUUAUUGUGGUGGGGUGUGUGUGUGAUGGGGAGAAAAGUUGUUGGGUGUGUGUUAGAUUCAUGGGGGUGAGGGUGGGGGUAGGUGAGAGCCUAGAAUAGAGAGGAGAGAAUGUGAUAUUUGGAAACAACUUCUGUGCUCCUGGCCCUCUAAUAUGAACAGAUAGUUUACCCUGUAGCAGAAGGGAUCAUGUUUCUUAAUGGUCCUUCUAAGUGAGAAAAAUGAGAAAAAAUCAUCAGUCACACAAACCAAUUCAUAAUAUAUAUAUCAAAGUAUUUGUGAUCAGUUUAUGUAUCAUCUAUUUUUGGGGGUAUAAAUCGUGGCACAAAUUUGGCCCGUCGCUGCUACUGGGUUAAGGAGGAAAACACAACCUAGUAGAAUGGAAGAAAAAGGGACUAUGGCACACCAGGAUUCUUUAGGUAUUACUUACAUAAAUGUGCACCAGCAGUCUAGCCGUGAACCAGCUUUGUCAGCACAGGGAAAGGGGUGAGGGGGGUAAGUCUUUGUUAGUAAUCUUGCCCAGGCCUUGGUGGUAGCUGUCAACUGGGUAUUGGUAGGGGUGUGCCUUAAGAUGAGGGGAGGGGAUAGCAGUGGUGUGGUGUUGUGGUUUAUGGUAUCGGUGGUGGCAGAGUGUGGUAGUGUGAUUCAGGACUGUAUUAGUGUAGGAAAAAGAACAAAAGUCUGGGUUAAGAAAAAAUCAAGAUUACUUUUUGUUUUACUUGUAUAAGCGGCUGUAUCAUUUUCUGUCCUUAAUAUGAAACGGAUUUUUUCUUAGAUCAUUUUAUUUAGCCUGUAACAAGAGAUGGGUGUGCAGUAAUGUUUAUUUAUUUAUCAUUUUAUUUUUUAUGGUAUGGGAGGCAGGGACUUCGGGAAAAAUAUAUCCUCAUAACAUGCUUAUAAUAUAUAAAAAAACAGAGGAAGAUACUGAAAAAGUUAAAAAGAAGGAAUAUUUGAGUAGUUGCAAUAUUGCCAAGGUGUAUGUCAUUAAUUAACCUGUGGCAUGUUCCUUUGUUGCAGGUACCCUCCACCUCCUCCGCCGAUGCGUGGUUACGGCCCGCCGGACCGCCGGCCGUACUAAGCGCGCGAAGCUCACCGCCGGGCACGCUGCCGUUGGUACGGGCGCGGUAGUGUGUGUGGUGUCGUCAGCGGGUAUUCGGUAACAUGUCGUGUACCGUCACGUCAAGUCACGUCACGUCACGUCACGCCGCGUAAGGCUCAUGCCGCCGCCGCCGCCGCCGUGCCGCGCUGUGCCGGGCUGGAGACGCACGCAGCGCCUCCGCCACCGCCUCCGCCACCCCACGGGCAUUACUUUAGACCACCACUCCCUGUACCUCCUCCAGUCAGUGUAGGCCGAGGGGCAGGGUGAUGAUGAUGAUAAUCUUUUGUAGGGUUAGUUAGCAGCAGCUGUGUCCAGGCGGCCCUUAACAGGUACUACUAGUAUAUUCUCUCCCUCACUCACUGCUCUCACCUCUCCCUCAUUUUUCACCCAUUUUUUUCUUUUCAUUCUUUUCCUCCUUUUUUUUUCCUUUUGUUGUAAUGUAAUGAUUGUAUCUUGAAUGUUACGAUCCCAAGUGAGAAAUAAAUGCAGUAGCCGUUGUCUUGAA